ACAACAGCUCAAAUAUUUUCGGCCCAGCCCACUACCGUAUCCCCAGUAACCCUAGCCCCCGCAGCACAAGACCACCAGCAAGCUUCCAGCCGGCAGCCGCAGGCCGCAGCUCCUGAUCUCCCAUGGCGGCGCCGGCGCAUCUCGACGGACGCCAAGCCUGCACCCACCGGCCACCGACAGCGCGAGUGUGAGAUGGCUGACGACGUCGCUGUCCUUAUCACUGCCCUCUUCGUCGAGCUGCAGCGGCUGCAGACCAGCUGCGCCUCAUCUUCCCCAUCGCCAUCGGCAUCCGGCGCUCGACGGGGCUUCAAUUAGAUGCAAGCGUGAAGGGGCCCAGGGGCAAGGCCGCAAGGGGCUUCUCUCGAUAGCAGCGUCAAGGUCCAUUUCUGAAUAGGAGGUAGGCAUGCGGUCGCUAGGAUGGUAGGAUCAGUACCACACUGUUCGAAAUGGAGAGAUUCUAUGCAAGGGCCGGCGAGCAGGUCAGGCUCACGGCGACGACGGACGUACGUCGAGCUCCCGGCCGGGCUGGCCAUCACCUGAUGAAGGAUGGCGGCCGGCACCUUCGAUCCUGGCCGACGCGGCGUCGUACUAAGUGAUGCAGUGAGCUCUCCUAAUUACAAUACAAUGUCAUUUUAAUGUCGAUGUGACAGCCUUUUGUUUUCGCUAGUACUCCUCCUAUAGCUGUCCAACAGUGCCAUGAUCCAAUCUUCUCAAUCUGAGAAUUGAGCGAUGUUUUUGUUCUGUUCAUAAAGAUGAAUAGAUCCUAGCUAGUUUUUAUUAUAAACUUGUUUGCACAUCUAUAUGUACACAUACUGCAUCCCAUACAGAUGUAGUACGUGAUGUUUUCUUUAACUGGUAAUACACUGUCGGUACCCUGUA